rnacentral:rRNA from 1 species
UAGCGGGAGGCCUAACACAUGCAAGCCGAGCGGUAGAUAUUCUUCGGAAUCUUGAGAGCGGCGUACGGGUGCGGAACACGUGUGCAACCUACCUUUAUCGGGGGGAUAGCCUUUCGAAAGAAAAAUUAAUACCCCAUAAUAUAUUGAAGGGCAUCUUUUAAUAUUGAAAACUCCGGUGGAUAGAGAUGGGCACGCCCAAAAUUAGAUAGUUGGUGGGGUAACGGCCUACCAAGUCAAUGAUCUUUAGGGGGCCUGAGAGGGUGAUCCCCCACACUGGUACUGAAACACGGACCAAACUCCUACGGGAGGCAGCAGUGAGGAAUAUUGGACAAUGGGUGAGAGCCUGAUCCAGCCAUCCCGCGUGAAGGACGACGGCCCUAUGGGUUGUAAACUUCUUUUGUAUAGGGAUAAACCUACUCUCGUGAGAGUAGCUGAAGGUACUAUACAAAUAAGCACCGGCUAACUCCGUGCCAGCAGCCGCGGUAAUACGGAGGGGGCAAGCGUUAUCCGGAUUUAUUGGGUUUAAAGGGUCCGUAGGCGGAUCUGUAAGUCAGUGGUGAAAUCUCAUAGCUUAACUAUGAAACUGCCAUUGAUACUGCAGGUCUUGAGUAAAGUAAAAGUGGCUGGAAUAAGUAGUGUAGCGGUGAAAUGCAUAUAUAUUACUUAGAACACCAAUUGCGAAGGCAGGUCACUAUGUUUUAACUGACGCUGAUGGACGAAAGCGUGGGGAGCGAACAGGAUUAGAUACCCUGGUAGUCCACGCCUAAAACGAUGCUAACUCGUUUUUGGGCUUUCGGAUUCAGAGACUAAGCGAAAGUGAUAAGUUAGCCACCUGGGGAGUACGUUCGCAAGAAUGAAACUCAAAGGAAUUGACGGGGGCCCGCACAAGCGGUGGAUUAUGUGGUUUAAUUCGAUGAUACGCGAGGAACCUUACCAAGGCUUAAAUGGGAAUUGACAGGUUUAGAAAUAGACUUUUCUUCGGACAAUUUCAAGGUGCUGCAUGGUUGUUGUCAGCUCGUGCCGUGAGGUGUUAGGUUAAGUCCUGCAACGAGCGCAACCCCUGUCACUAGUUGCCAUCAUUCAGUUGGGGACUCUAGUGAGACUGCCUACGCAAGUAGAGAGGAAGGUGGGGAUGACGUCAAAUCAUCACGGCCCUUACGCCUUGGGCCACACACGUAAUACAAUGGCCAGUACAGAGGGCAGCUACCAGGCGACUGGAUGCGAAUCUCGAAAGCUGGUCUCAGUUCGGAUUGGAGUCUGCAACUCGACUCUAUGAAGCUGGAAUCGCUAGUAAUCGCAUAUCAGCCAUGAUGCGGUGAAUACGUUCCCGGGCCUUGUACACACCGCCCGUCAAGCCAUGGAAGUUUGGGGUACCUGAAGUCGGUGACCGUAACAGGAGCUGCCUAGGGUAAAAC